rnacentral:rRNA from 1 species
UACAGAGGGUGCGAGCGUUAAUCGGAAUUACUGGGCGUAAAGCGUGCGCAGGCGGCGCCGCACGUCAGGCGUGAAAUCCCCGAGCUUAACUUGGGAAUGGCGCUUGAAACUACGGUGCUGGAGUGUGGCAGAGGGAGGUGGAAUUCCACGUGUAGCGGUGAAAUGCGUAGAGAUGUGGAGGAACACCGAUGGCGAAGGCAGCCUCCUGGGCCAACACUGACGCUCAUGCACGAAAGCGUGGGGAGCAAACAGG